AUGGCUCCAGCCUCCGCCGGCGCCAAGCGCCCCUUCGCCGCCGACUCCGCCCACGACGCUGCUGAGCAAGAGCAAUCACUCGCGCAGGUCCAGGAGAGCGCGGUGAGCAAGAAGAACGGCCAGAGCGAGCAGCCGAAGCUGGAGUGCCCACGGUGCAGCUCCACGGACACCAAGUUCUGCUACUACAACAACUACAGCACGGCACAGCCGCGCCACUACUGCCGCACCUGCCGCCGCUACUGGACGCACGGCGGCACGCUGCGCAAGGUCCCCGUCGGCGGCGCCUGCCGCCGCGGCUCCGGCAGCAGCAGCAAGCGCCGCAGGCCCUCCGCCGAGCCCCACACGCCCUCCUCCGGCUCGCCGCAGCCGGACCAGCAGGAGCAAGACACGCUCCCCCCGCUCCCGGUCUUCCCGUUCCUCACCGAUGGCGGCCCCGCCUUCCUGCCGCAGUUCGACCUCGGGCUCUACGACGGGCUCGCGGCGCCCACCGGCGCAUGGGAGGACUUCGGCGGCCUUGAGCUCACCUGGCCACCACCGCCACCCCCGGAGGCCGGCAACUGA
rnacentral:rRNA from 1 species